UUAAACUUUUACAUUCUGGUGAUUUCUCUUACAGAAACCAAAGAAGCCACGGAAACGAUUAAAAUCGGAGAGUUUCUCAGAAAGUGACGCCAGUAAUACACCAGGAACCGCCUUAUCUUCCUCCGCUCCAGGCUCAGCAUUCCGUCCAAACCUAGUCAAACCAGUCACAACUCAGGGAGAACCCACAAGUCCUGUCAAAGCCAAAAAGCCAAAGAAAGGAUUAGCUACAGCAAAGCAGAGACUUGGGAAAAUUCUGAAAAUUAAUAAGCUUGGCAUGUUCUGAUGUGUUAAAGUUCUGACUAAAACAACCUUUCAAACCUCGAUUAAGAAUUGUUCUCUACAUUGUUAUGGUCACCAAGUAUGCAUCGUAUUUAUUUUUUGUUAUUAUUAGGACUUCCUUUUGUUGUGUCAUUAUAUUUUGAAAAAUUUGAAUCUUAGAAUUAGCCAAUUCAGAUCUAUGGAGUUCCUGCUCUAUAACCAUUUGAAUUCUGUUUAAACUUUUUACAGCAUUUUUGUUAGGUGUCACAUUUGCAUGUUCAAUUACUGAAGAUGUACUUUUUUACAUGGUGUCAUAAUUCCGCGGAAUGUCUAUUUUUGUUUAAUCCGCGGGUAGAAAAUUAGGAAGAUUUUCUUAAAUCAUACUCCAUGCCUUAAAUGUAUAUCAAGUACAAUCAGACAAAUUUCCCAGAAAAAUUUUUGACCAUGUACAUAGUGUAAAUUAAUACUACACAGAAAAAAGUACUUCUGCAGUAACUGAUUCCUUAAGGUAGCAUAAUUAUUUCUGAAUCAGAAAAGAAAAUAGACAUUGAACUUACACAUUCACGUGAGCAUUGUUGAAGGGAAAGAGAAG